UACGGGGGGGGCAAGCGUUGUUCGGAAUUAUUGGGCGUAAAGCGCGUGUAGGCGGUUGUUCAAGUCGGGUGUGAAAGCCUUGAGCUCAACUCAAGAAAUGCACUCGAUACUGGAUGACUAGAGGACCGGAGAGGAUAGUGGAAUUCCCAGUGUAGUGGUGAAAUACGUAGAGAUUGGGAAGAACACCAGUGGCGAAGGCGGCUAUCUGGACGGUUUCUGACGCUAAGACGCGAAAGCGUGGGGAGCAAACAGG
rnacentral:rRNA from 1 species